rnacentral:rRNA from 1 species
AAUAUUGGAUUAUGGGUGAAAGCCUGAUCCAGCCAUCCCGCGUGAAGGACGACGGUCAUAUGGAUAGUAAACCUCCUUUGUACAGGAAUAAAGCUACUCUCGUGAGAGCAGCGGAAGGUACUGGACGAUUAAGCACCGGCUACCUCCGUGCCUGCAGCCGCGGUAAUACGGAGGGUGCAAGCGUUAUCCGGAUUUAUUGGGUUUAAAGGGUCCGUAGGCGGACCCGUAAGUCAGUGGUGAAAUCUCAUAGCUUAACUAUGAAACUGCCAUUGAUACUGCGGGUCUUGAGUAAAUGUGAAGUGGCUGGAAUAAGUAGUGUAGCGGUGAAAUGCAUAGAUAUUACUUAGAACACCAAUUGCGAAGGCAGGUCACUAAGAUUUAACUGACGCUGAUGGACGAAAGCGUGGGUAGCGAACAG